UCAAGGUAAGCUUUUCCUUGGGACAGUUCACAAUCUGGUGGAGGGGACAGAUAGGCAAGCAAAGAGACACAGUACAAUGGAUAAAUGCUGUAAUUGGAAUAACCCAUAUGGAUUCUCUGGUACUCAUUCUUUCUUCUGAUUGAGGUAAUUAAAUCCAAAAAAGGAAAGCAGCUUGCCCUAAGCCUCCUCUCUCCAGACUGAAAAUUCCAAGGUCUUUUCUCCUUUCCUCCUUGCUACCUGUGAGCCACACCGGAUGUGUUGACCUCCCCAAUUCCUUUGGGUGACACAACAGACCAAGCCUUGGCAAGAGAGCAGGAAUCCAGAUCAGAGCCAGGUUCAUCAGAAACAACUCCAAACCGUGGCCAACUGACCCUUCACCACCACUCCAAGAGCUGGACCUAAA